rnacentral:rRNA from 1 species
GUGUCAGCAGCCGCGGUAAUACAGAGGUCCCAAGCGUUGUUCGGAUUCAUUGGGCGUAAAGGGUGCGUAGGUGGCGAGGUAAGUCGGAUGUGAAAUCUCCAAGCUCAACUUGGAAACUGCAUUCGAUACUGCUUUGCUCGAGGAUUGUAGAGGGCAUUGGAAUUCACGGUGUAGCAGUGAAAUGCGUAGAUAUCGUGAGGAAGACCAGUGGCGAAGGCGAAUGCCUGGGCAAUUCCUGACACUGAGGCACGAAGGCCAGGGGAGCAAACGGGAUUAGAUACCCCGGUAGUCCUGGCAGUAAACGGUGCACGUUUGGUGUGGGAGGAUUCGACCCCUUCCGUGCCGGAGCUAACGCGUUAAACGUGCCGCCUGGGGAGUACGGUCGCAAGAUUAAA